UCCCUCUGUCGGCACGGUGGCUUUUCUGUGACAUUUAGAAAUAUGUGAUGCUCCCUUGUUUUAAGUGAAAUCAAGUGACUGGGCAGUGUCGGAUGUGGGCGAGAGAACACAAAUCAAACGUGUCAAGCGUUGUACGAGUCUAGGAUCCACAUCCCAGAUGAUCCAUGAUCGGUAUCCAACAACAAGGGGCAUUAACUGUACUGAAGUAAUAACCGAUCUGCUGAUCAAUACAGACAAACGUGAACUGGUCUUGAGUGUUACUGGCGUUCGCGUUACAGGAAUACAUAAACUGCGUCAUCAUGGCACUGAACAUCCCUGGACUCAUCUCCGUCAUCGUGUUCUACGUCCUCAUCCUCGUCAUCGGCAUCAUCGCCGCCAGGAAGAGCAGAAACAGUAACGCCGAAGACUCAUUCGUGGCCAAUAGAAGCAUCGGGCUGUGGCUGUCGUUCUUUACACUUAC
rnacentral:lncRNA from 1 species